rnacentral:rRNA from 1 species
CACGUAGUCAACCUCCCCUGGAGGCCAGCAUAACCCCGGGAAACUGGGAUUAAUACUGGAUAGGUCAUCUCAUCUGGAAGGAGAGAUGGCUUAAAGGGGUGUGUGAGCUUCUUUCAUACAGCUGCUCCAGGAUGGGACUGCGACUGAUCAGGCUGUUGGCGGGGUAAUGGCCCACCAAACCAGUAACCAGUACGGGCCUUGAGAGAGGGGGCCCGGAGAUGGACACUGAGAGAAGGGUCCAGGUCCUACGGGGCGCAGCAGGCGCGAAACCUUCGCAAUGCGCGAAAGCGUGACGAGGUUAAUCCGAGUGGUUCCCGCUGAGGGAAUCUUUUGUCGGCUCUAAAAAGGCCGGCGAAUAAGGGGAGGGCAAGUCUGGUGUCAGCCGCCGCGGUAAUACCAGUUCCUCGAGUGGUCGGGGCGAUUAUUGGGCCUAAAGCAUCCGUAGCCGGUUCUGUAGGUCCUCUGUUAAAUCCAACGGCUUAACCGUUGGCCCGCAGAGGAUACCGCAGGACUAGGAGGCGGGAGAGGCAGACGGUACUCUACGUGUAGGGGUAAAAUCCUUUGAUCCGUAGAAGACCACCAGUGGUGAAGGCGGUCUGCCAGAACGCGCUCGACGGUGAGGGAUGAAAGCUGGGGGAGCGAACCGGAUUAAUACUCGGGUUAGCCCCAGCCGUAAACGAUGCCGAGCUAGAUGAUUCGGCCCCAAAUCGCGAUCGAA